rnacentral:rRNA from 1 species
CAGCAGCCGCGGGAAAACGGAGGGGGCUAGCGUUGUUCGGAAUUACUGGGCGUAAAGCGCACGUAGGCGGCUUGGUAAGUUAGAGGUGAAAGCCUGGAGCUCAACUCCAGAAUUGCCUUUAAGACUGCCGAGCUAGUAGGUGAGAGAGGUAAGUGGAAUUCCGAGUGUAGAGGUGAAAUUCGUAGAUAUUCGGAAGAACUCCAGUGGCGAAGGCGGCUCACUGGACCGGAAUUGACGCUGAGGUGCGAAAGCGUGGGGAGCAAACAGGAUUAGAUACCCCAGUAGUCCCUGUCUCUUAUAC